rnacentral:rRNA from 1 species
GAUGAACGCUAGCGGCAGGCCUAACACAUGCAAGUCGAACGGUAACAUGAGUAGCAAUACUUGAUGACGAGUGGCGCACGGGUGCGUAACGCGUAUGCAACUUACCUCUAACUGGAGAAUAGCCUUCCGAAAGGAAGAAUAAUACUCCAUAAUAUUACGAUGUGGCAUCACAUUGUUCUUAAAGCUUCGGCGGUUAGAGAUGGGCAUGCGUCUGAUUAGCUUGUUGGUGAGGUAACGGCUCACCAAGGCAACGAUCAGUAGGGGGCCUGAGAGGGUUAUCCCCCACACUGGUACUGAGACACGGACCAGACUCCUACGGGAGGCAGCAGUGAGGAAUAUUGGUCAAUGGACGAAAGUCUGAACCAGCCAUGCCGCGUGCAGGAUGAAUGCCCUAUGGGUUGUAAAGCUCUUUUACCAGGGAUGAUAAUGACAGUACCUGGAGAAUAAGCUCCGGCUAACUCCGUGCCAGCAGCCG